rnacentral:tRNA from 2 species
GGUCCCAUCGUCUAGCCCGGUCCAGGACGUCUCCCUCUCACGGAGAAAACUGGGGUUCGAAUCCCCAUGGGACUACCA